GAGUCGCACACCGAAGUGAACAUCAGGAUGAUGACACUUCAGCAGGACACACCAGGACGGUGUAGCAAGGAAAGGCUUCAGGAUGAAGUGAAGAGGACAGCGCAGGAUGCGUUAAAGGACACCUCCAGGAGGGAGAACGAGAGCCGGUCAGGAUGUUCGGUGGGUCAGGAUGGCCAGGAAACUUCAGGAUGAAGUUGAUCGCACUGGGGUGGUGUGAAGCAGGAUGCUUAUGUUCAGGAUGAACAGGUCGCAAGACCACAGGAAAAGUUGUCAUGGAUGAGCAGGGAGCACUAAAAGUAGCUGGAUGGCUGCGAAACGAACCGGGAGCACUGUUUAUACAGUGCUCCCUUUUUUUAUU
rnacentral:other from 1 species